AUUGAACGCUGGCGGCAUGCCUUACACAUGCAAGUCGAACGGCAGCACAGGGAGCUUGCUCCUGGGUGGCGAGUGGCGAACGGGUGAGUAAUGUAUCGGAACGUGCCCAGUAGUGGGGGAUAACUACUCGAAAGAGUGGCUAAUACCGCAUGAGAUCUCUGGAUGAAAGUGGGGGACCGCAAGGCCUCACGCUACUGGAGCGGCCGAUAUCAGAUUAGGUUGUUGGUGGGGUAAAGGCCUACCAAGCCUGCGAUCUGUAGCUGGUCUGAGAGGACGACCAGCCACACUGGGGCUGAGACACGGCCCAGACUCCUACGGGAGGCAGCAGUGGGGAAUUUUGGACAAUGGGCGCAAGCCUGAUCCAGCAAUGCCGCGUGCAGGAUGAAGGCCUUCGGGUUGUAAACUGCUUUUGUACGGAACGAAAAGGCUCUGGUUAAUACCUGGGGUCCAUGACGGUACCGUAAGAAUAAGCACCGGCUAACUACGUGCCAGCCGCCGCUGUAAUAC
rnacentral:rRNA from 1 species